rnacentral:rRNA from 1 species
GACGAACGCUGGCGGCGUGCUUUAACACAUGCAAGUCGAACGAAGAGCGAUGGAAGCUUUGCUUUCUAUCAAUCUUAGUGGCGAACGGGUGAGUAACGCGUAAUCAACCUGCCCUUCAGAGGGGGACAACAGUUGGAAACGACUGCUAAUACCGCAUACGAUCUAAACUCGGCAUCGAGGAUAGAUGAAAGGUGGCCUCUACAUGUAAGCUAUCACUGAAGGAGGGGAUUGCGUCUGAUUAGCUAGUUGGAGGGGUAACGGCCCACCAAGGCGAUGAUCAGUAGCCGGUCUGAGAGGAUGAACGGCCACAUUGGGACUGAGACACGGCCCAGACUCCUACGGGAGGCAGCAGUGGGGAAUCUUCCGCAAUGGACGAAAGUCUGACGGAGCAACGCCGCGUGAGUGAUGACGGCCUUCGGGUUGUAAAGCUCUGUUAAUCGGGACGAAAGGCCUUCUUGCGAAUAGUGAGAAGGAUUGACGGUACCGGAAUAGAAAGCCACGGCUAACUAC